rnacentral:rRNA from 1 species
GAUGAACGCUAGCUACAGGCUUAACACAUGCAAGUCGAGGGACCGGCGCACGGGUGAGUAACACGUAUCCAACCUGCCUUUUACUCGGGGAUAGCCUUUCGCAAGAAAGAUUAAUACCCGAUGUAAAGGAUGGGGUUGCGUUCCUUUAGGUUGUUGGUGAGGUAACGGCGCGUCAAGCUUUCGAUGGAGAGGGGUUCUGAGGGGAAGGCCCCCCACAUGGGAACUAAGACACGGUCCAAACUCCUGGGGGAGGCAGGGGAGAGGAAGAGUGGUCAAUCGGCGUUAGCCUUGACAAGCCACGUAGCGUGAAGAAUGAAGUGGUAUGGGUCGUAAACUUCUUUUAUAUAAGAAUGGGUAAUAUAUGAAUAAGGAUCGGCUAACUCCGUGCCAGCAGCCGCGGUAAUUC